rnacentral:siRNA from 1 species
UGCUUCCGAGGAUGUGUUUGA